rnacentral:rRNA from 1 species
UACGAAGGGGGGCGAGCGUUGUUCGGAAUUACUGGGCGUAAAGGGCGCGUAGGCGGCGACCCAAGUCAGAUGUGAAAGUCCUGGGCUUAACCUGGGGACUGCAUUUGAUACUGGGUUGCUUGAAUUCGGGAGAGGAUAGCGGAAUUCCCAGUGUAGAGGUGAAAUUCGUAGAUAUUGGGAAGAACACCGGUGGCGAAGGCGGCUAUCUGGACCGACAUUGACGCUGAGGCGCGAAAGCGUGGGGAGCAAACAGG